rnacentral:rRNA from 1 species
UACGGAGGGUGCGAGCGUUGUCCGGAAUCACUGGGCGUAAAGGGCGCGUAGGCGGCGCGGAUAGUCGGCGGUGAAAGCCCGGAGCCCAACUCCGGGUCGGCCGUCGAUACUUCCGGGCUUGAGCACUGUAGAGGCAGAUGGAAUUCCGGGUGUAGCGGUGGAAUGCGUAGAGAUCCGGAAGAACACCGGUGGCGAAGGCGGUCUGCUGGGCAGUUGCUGACGCUGAUGCGCGACAGCGUGGGGAGCAAACAGG